rnacentral:misc_RNA from 1 species
UCCGGCUUAUCACCGGCAGUUUCCUCAGAGUUCCCAGCUUUACCUGUUGGCAACAGAGGACGAGGGUUGCGCUCGUUGCGGGACUUAACCCAACAUCUCACGACACGAGCUGACGACAGCCAUGCAGCACCUGUGCUCCUCCCACCCGAAGUGAAGGAACGCCUUUCAGCGUUCCAUAGAGGGCAUGUCGAAUCCUGGUAAGGUUCUUCGCGUUGCGUCGAAUUAAACCACAUGUUCCACCGCUUGUGCGGGUCCCCGUCAAUUCCUUUGAGUUUUAAUCUUGCGACCGUACUCCCCAGGCGGGGUGCUUAACGCGUUAGCUACGCUACUGAGAGGUAACCCCCCAACAGCUAGCACCCAUCGUUUACAGCGCGGACUAC